UGGGGAGCUCUUCCGCUCAUUGCAGUUGUGAAGAAUGAGCUUUAUGGCGCUGAUUACAGUAAGAAUAAUGAUUUGAGGCAGUAUGAUAAGAUGGACAACAAGUGGAUAACUCUUGGAAAAUUGCCUGUACAGUCUAAGAAAGAGGGCAAGGACAUGGGUUUCCGAGCGUGUGAUGACCGGCUGAUUGUUAUUGGGCCUCCAAACAAUUCUACUGAUGAAAACGUGGUUGAGCUUCAUUCAUGGAACCCGGAUGGGCAACCACCUGUGUGGAGUUUGUUUGCAACACGGCCAUACAGGGAGGGCUGGAUUCAGUCAACAUGCGCCAUGAUGGGUUGCUGA
rnacentral:rRNA from 1 species